rnacentral:rRNA from 1 species
GACGAACGCUGGCGGCGUGCCUAACACAUGCAAGUCAAGGAGAAUUCCACUUUCGGGUGGAUAGUAAACUGGCGAACGGGUGAGUAACACGUAGGUAACCUACCCUUAAGCGGGGGACAACUCAGGGAAACUUGAGCUAAUACCGCAUAAGACCACGGGCUGAGAUGCCAGUGGGAAAAGGAGCAAUCCACUUAAGGAUGGGCCUGCGGCCUAUCAGGUAGUUGGUGAGGUAACGGCCCACCAAGCCAGAGACGGGUAGCCGGGCUGAGAGGUUGAACGGCCACACUGGAACUGAGAUACGGUCCAGACUCCUACGGGAGGCAG